rnacentral:tmRNA from 1 species
GGGGCUGACCGGAAUUGACGGGGAGUUGAAUGGUAAUGUAAGCAUGUGGAGUAAUGGAAAUCGACUCAUUAAUCAGUUUUCCAAACCAAUAAAUGGCGAAAAUAACUACGCUCUUGCAGCAUAGUCGAAUAAAGUAGACUAACGCCUUAUUCUGCUAUAGUAGCAGAAGCAAGACAUCCCUCAGAAGGCAAUCCUUUAGUCGUCUGAAUCAGGGGUGCAGUAAUUAAGGGAUAGUUUUGUUCAGCUUCGGGAACAGAAUAAAAUUAAGAAGAUAAGGGUUAAUUAGAGUGUCUGUUUUCGGAUUAACCUCGAAAAUCAAUAACGAGACUAAACAUGUAGAAAGCAUUGUUAUUGCUUGUCCGGACGCGGGUUCGAAUCCCGCCAGUUCCACAU